CAAUAGAGGUAAGAAUAUAAAUAUAUAACUAUUAUAUAUUUUAAGAAUUAAUUAAAAUAAAAUGUAAUUUAUGUAGAUGUCAAAUAUAUGGAAUUAUACCAACUGUUUUUACUUUAACACUUCGAACACUUCGGACGAGUUAAAGGUAUUUAAUAUGUUCCAAAUUCAGAUGAACAGGAAUUGCAGCAUAACUUGUAAGAAAUUUUUCGUCUUGAAUAAAGUUUUUAUUGCAAAAUUUGUCAACUUCGUAAUAAUUCAAGUGUGGGCGUUAAAACAGAUUAGUGAAAAUUUAUGAAUUAUUUCAUAUAGACGAUAAUCGACGAUAAAAAUAUUCUGUAACACAGUUUAAAUAAAAUAAAAUUUCUGAUGUCAU